AUUAACUUUGUUUCAGUUUUUCGUUGACGUUCGCCAUUUCUAAUCAAAAUUGGCACAAAUUUCAUUCUUUCAAUGGAGAAAUUGAAUUUUUAAUGGACUCGCAAGAAUAUAUAGUUUUUUUAAGAAGGAAAUUCAAAUUUUUUUCUUCACAAAUAUUUAAACAUACUUUCUAAACAGAGCAAAAUUUCCAAUUUAAGGGGAAUCGUCUCUAGGAAUACAUCUAGG